GCAGAGCCAUCCUACGGGAGGCAGCAGUGGGGGAAUAUUGCACAAUGGGCGCAAGCCUGAGUGCAGCCAUGCCGCGUGUAUGAAGAAGGCCUUACGGGUUGUAAAGUACGUUUCAGCAGUGAGGAAGGUGGGUAUGUUAAUAGCAUAUUCAUUUGACGUUAGCUGCAGAAGAAGCACCGGCUAACUCCGUGCCAGCAGCCGCGGUAAUACGGAGGGUGCGAGCGUUAAUCGGAAUUACUGGGCGUAAAGCGCAUGCAGGUGGUUUGUUAAGUCAGAUGUGAAAGCCCGGGGCUCAACCUCGGAAUUGCAUUUGAAACUGGCAAACUAGAGUACUGUAGAGGGGGGUAGAAUUUCAGGUGUAGCGGUGAAAAUGCGUAGAGAUCUGAAGGAAUACCGGUGGCGAAGGCGGCCCCCUGGACAGAUACUGACACUCAGAUGCGAAAGCGUGGGGAGCAAACAGGAUUAGAUACCCUGGUAG
rnacentral:rRNA from 1 species